UCUCCAUUACCGUUACAGAGCUCUGCAAAACUUGAGAUUGAGAAGAAGAGAUUUCGAGUGAGAGAAAUCGCAAGCAGAUCCUUAUAAGAUUGUAUAGUUAGUGUGUAUGGUUUGUUAAUUCUCGUACGGUGAUUUUUUGUAAAGAUUUUGGAGAUAAGACUAACAUCUGAUUGUUGAAUACGGUGGUUCUCUUACAAAAGAUUAACACACAAUGUUCGCAGACGAGGAAUUCGAUGAAUGGGUUGGAACUGGAAGUUGGGUUUUUGAAGCUGUAUGUGGAGAAAGUGCAGAGAAACAAUGGGUCUGGUGGUAUCUGUGAUGGAGAUGGAGUUGUGUUAUACAGUGGUUUAUGAAUCUGGUGAUGGAGAUGGAGUUGCAAUACAGGAGACGAAGGUGAAGCGACAUGAAAGGGUUCUGGAUAGGGUUUAUGAAAUUAAUUUGAUGAUGUUGUUGUUGGUGAUUGUUGUUUUAAUGGCUUGAAGCAGAGUGGUGAUCUGGUGAAUGGAUAUGUGCCCAUGGUGAUGUUGCAAUGAAGAGAAGAUGCAGAUGGUUUUGUUGGGUUUCAGAUGCAGUUCAAGUUGACGGUGGUUGCAAAAAUGAUAGGAUGAUGUGUUUACUGUUGCAGUGUAGGUUACAGGAACUAGAUGAAUGUACUAGGUUUACAAUGAAAUGGUGGAUGUUCAUUGAUGGCUUUGAGCUGAGAAGAUACAGGCAGGAGGUUGCUGGUGAAAAUGGCCAGAGCACACAUUUGGAGUAACCACAUUGAGGAGUGUAACAGAAGUUCAGGAGUUUGUUGUUAGCAGGGCGGAGGGGAACGAUGAUGGUAGCAAUGCUUAUGAUGCUAGGAGGUUGAUCGAGAAUAUGGAGAAUCACAUAACAGAAGGGACUCAAAUUUAUGGCGAGCUCGAGGAAGGAAACGAGUAUGGAAAUGUCAGCCACCAUCUACACCAGCCACCACCAUUGUUUUCCCAAACCAUUUUGCAUCUCCACUAGCAUACCACCAAAUCCAUACCACCAUUCCAGUGCAUAUCCCCCCACCAAUUCAGAUGCACAUCAUCAAUAUAGAAGCAACUGGUCGGUUCGCAACCUCAACAGCAGCAAGGGUACACCACUAGCGACUCCAUUUUGACUACCACAAUAAAUCCUCACCAGCUUGCAGCAAACUGUGCAACACUAGAAACGUCUUGUACCCAAGCCACGUCAGCAGUUGCCACAUGUCAGAGUUGGCCCCAUCAGAAGCUGCCACAUGUAAGUGUUGGUACACAUCAGCAGCUGCCAUAUGUGAUAGUUUAACCAUGGUUAAUAGUAGCUGGAGUUACAAAAAGGUAUUUUGGUGAUAACUAACACCGUUUUUUCCCAAUUAGUUAUUUCGGACGGAACAUGACUAUCUUGUAAUCCAAUUUCAAAAGUGUGAUCAUUUUGUAACCGAAAUACAAAAAGUAGGAACAUUUUGUAAUUGGCCCAUAAAUGUAUUGGAGAAGAAAAUCAGGAAUUUCCUUUGGGAUAAUGGCGACGAGGAGAAGAAACAUCUAGCUAAUGGGUCGCUGGUUUGUACUCCAAUUGAGAAAGGAGGUCUAGGUGCUAAAGAUUUGCAGCAGUUAAACUUGGCGAUGAUCGCUUAGUGGAGUUGGAGAUUUGGAUUAGAAAAGAACUCUCUCUGGUUUUUUAUAAUUAAUGAAAAGCAUGGCCUGUCUGCCUCUUUUUGGAUUCCAGACAAGGUAAAGGGUUCAUAUGGAAUCCUGCUGGAAAGGAAUUGCUAAGAAAGCUGAUAAGGUAUCACAAUUUGCUUCUCUUGAUGUUCAAAAUGGAAAUUCCAUCUCUUUCUGGUCUGACAUUUGGGUUGGAAACCAAACCCUUCGUAUUCUCUUUCCCUCAAUAUGCAAGAUCGGUACAAAUAAAAAUGAAUUUCUCUCCUCAUAUAAUAUUUGUUGGGAAUUGAAUUAGUUGGAAUAUGCGCUUAAGAAGAUCAUUUACUGACGAAGAGAUCUAGUAACUUCUCUGCUUGAUAUCAUUGGUCUAGAGCCCCCCACAGUUUGCAACUCAGAAGACAAAAGAAGUUGGUCUUUAACCCCUGUAAGAAAAUUCUCGACAGGUUCUCUAUACUUUUCUCUCUACCAAGAUACUGUCUAUCCAGAUUUCCCAUUAUGGAAUAACAAAGUCCCAUCUAAAAUUAAUUUUUUUCUUUGGACUGCUGCCCAAGGUAAGAUCUUCAUCACAAUUGAUACGUUUAUAGAGUGGGGUUACCAUCACAUGAUAAGUGUAUUCUCUGUCAUUGUGCCGAGGAAAAUGAAAAACAUUUAUUUUUUGAAUGCUCCUUUGCAAGGAGAAUUUGGUUGUACCUCCUUCCUUCUAAUGGUAUUCAAGGAGCUUGGCCUUCCACCAUUCUCAGCCUACUGCAAGUUUGGCACACACUAAAGGAUCCUAACGACGAUAAGAUGGUUUGGUCCCUAAUCCCUACAACUAGACUCUGGUCCGUAUGGAAUGAGAGAAACUCGAGAACUUUCGAAGAAAAAACCAACGAUGUCGAGCUAGUUGGUCAGAAUACUAGAGCCAUGCUUUUCUCAUGGGCUUCAAUUUAGAAAUAUAGUUUGAACGGGAAUUUUAAUAACAUCCUUUAUAAUUGGGAUUUUAUUCUCCUGAAUGUAAUUUUCUUUUUGUUGUUUCCUCUUACUUCUUGUGAGAUGGAAACUUGUUUA